rnacentral:rRNA from 1 species
AUACCCUAUUAUUUUAAGCUAUAUAUUGGUAGUAAUUAAUAAUUUAUGAAAUCAUAAGAUUUUGGCGGUAUUUUAAGCUUAUUAGAGGAAUUUGCUCUGUGAUGGAUACAACGCCUCGAUCUUACUUAAUUUGGUUUUAAAAGUCAGUUUGUAUACCACUAUAUUUAAUUAUAUUGAAUAAUUAUAUUUAAGAUUUUUAUAAAAAAAAAUAUAUUAAGUCAAGGUGCAAUUAAUAAUUAUGAAUGAAGUGAAUUACAUUAAUUUUAAUUUUAUUAAAAUAUUGAAAAAAAAUUUUUAGGAUUUAAUAGUAAAA